GUCACUUAGGUAGGAGAAUUUCUGAUAAGGAGCCUAGUCUCCAUCCAGUUUUCUACGUCAGCGAGAUGGGGUGCACUUAUUUUGGAAUUUUGCCAAGCUUUUCUUUGGAUCUAAAAGGAGUUUCAACUUUACAAAUUUUUAAAUAGUUAAAGCUGUUGUAAAUAAUAUUAUAAAUGAAUGUCCAUGUAUUGUAAAAUAUGUAUUUAUUUAUAUUUGGAGAACAAGGCUUGGUUGGAGACCAAUGUAACUAAGUAAUACUAAUAACUAUAGUUACUCUUGGACUAAUCUAGUUAGAAUCUAACUAGUUACUUGGUGACCAAACACUUCUCUUCCUAUAAAGAGGAAGGUUUUAUCUCCCAAGUAAGACAUCAAAAUUAUGGCAAUAAAAUCUCUCCUCAAGCUUCCUUCCUAAUUCUCUUGUUUCACUCUCAAUUUGUAUUAUUUUAUAACACCUUAUCAGCACGAAUUGCUUAAUUCAUCUUUUGUAUCAAGAAUCAAGAGUACAUGGUAGGUGCUCUUUUAACUUUCAUGGCUUCGGCCUCCUAUACCUUUUUGGCCGCCAGAGCAUGAAAUCCACCCUGCACCAUCAUUAGUUUGGAUAUCUUACAUCAGAAGAUCAUUUAAGAAACAGAGUUUAUAGUCGAGUACUAAAAAGUGAUUAUAUUUCUCAACUCUGGUUAUUAUAAGUAUAUUAAAUUGAUUAUGCUUAUGACUGACCAUGUAAUGGAUAUUCUUAUUUUAAAUAAAUAAAGCCUGAAUACUUAAAGUAUUCUUUUACAUAAGGUUCACAGUGAUUAUUAUUGAAGAAAUGUAUAAGAGAAACAUAAUUUAUAUCAUGCCUCAAAAAUUGCUCCGCAAGAGCAAUAUGAAAAAUUCGAGAGAUAUUAUGACAUGAUUUUAUGGUCCACUUUGAACUGUAAUACAGGUUACAGGAAAUGUUCGACCACAAGAAUUGAUAUAUUUCAUGUUUUGGUAAAGCUUAAUUAUUGUUAUGCAUAAAAUUAUAAAGUGGUAUUAUUUUAAAAGACUCGAGAGUGAGUCUCGGUGCACUUUGGCCUAUUAUGCUUAUUAGUUUAGGGUAAGACGGUGGAUUCAAGCUUCAUUGCACCAAGAGGGUAAGACAUCGGGUUUGAGUUCCCGUGCGCUAUGAUGAUAAUAUAAGAAGUUGGGUUCAAGUCCAUCACAUUAUGGCUUAAAACGCCUUUAGAUGGAUAAGACAUUGGGUUUAAGUACCAAUGCACGAUAUUAAUGAUAUAAUGAUGAUUAAUGCAGAAUAAUGAAUUUUUAAUAAAAGCUGUGAAGCCCGUCAGGUUUGAUAUGCUCCAUUCCCUGAAGUGAAUGUGGUAGCAGUACAUGAUAAGUCAGAAAGAUGACAAAAUAAUUAUUGUGUCCGUAUGAAUGAACGUGGACCUGACAAGGGACAAAAUAAUCGGCAUCAUUGUGAAAAUUAUAAAAGAAAGAACACUAUUGGUUCUCAAAAUGAUCCUUUGAAAGGUGAAGGUAAUAUUUGCCUCAAUGUCGUAUGAAAUGUCGUGAGCACGCGAUUGUUGUGUGACCUAAUUUGAUAAAUUAUAUAAAUCCUCCAUCAAAAGAAAGGAAUACAAAGUGGAGGCUCACUUGACCUUUCAAAGUGAUGUUGAGGUGGAUCAUAUAAAUAUGAUAAACAUUAAGACAUGACAAUGAGUUUAUAUCAAAUUUAUGAAGCACAUAUAUAAAAUUAUAGUCCAUUCCUUGAAGAGAAUGUGACUCGUGAUAAGCAUCGUGAAUGCUGGCCCAAUCUUGAAAGUGAAUUUGGCAAGAUAUGAUAAAAGAUAUGGAUAAAGACGUGCUUAUGUAUUAUGCUAGUAGCACAACUCACCUCUAGGAGAGGUUUGAGAGAAAUUGUUAUUAAGGUAUAAGUAGCCAUUGAUCAUCUUUUCGCUAAUGAUUAUUGAAGGGAAAAGGUUAAAGAAAGAAAUGAGUAUUGCCUAUAAUAAUUUUGAUCAUGAACGAAAUGAUAUAAUUUUCUCCUUUAAAGGAUAUGUUCACCGUACGGUUCGUGUUAUGAAAUAUGUGGUAGUACACAACUAACUGGGAGCUCUGAAAGAGCCAAUUUAUUACUACUUUGGAGGAAUGAAAUUGAUUGUCAAGAAAGCAUUAUAUUGUCGUAAGUCUCAAAGAAACUUAUUGAGUUUCAAAGGUAUUCGCCAAAGUGGCCAUUCAUAUUGAGACUAUAAAUGAUGGAAAGAUUUCAUAUCUUUAUAUUACUGCAGUCAUAUAGCGGGUAAGAAAUAAAUGUGAAAUGUUACCCUGCUUCCCUCCUGUUUGUACUACACAAAUAUGAGCAUGAUGAUGGAAUCACAUGCGAUGAUAAACUAGAAGUUUAUUGAAAUAAAUAUCAGUUGGCAUGACCGGUUGGCCAUUCCGGUUCUAAUGUGAUGCAAAUAUAAUUAAGAAUUCACGUGAUUAUAUAUUGAAGAAAUAAAAGAUUCUUCAAGAAUACUCUUGUGCUACUUGUUCUCAUGAUAAAUCGAACAUUAUACCAGCUAAAGUUGGGAUUGAAUUCCUCAAUUCUAGAACAUAAAAAGGUGAAUAUGGUCCCGUUCACCUGCCAUGUGGACCGCUUUACUAUUAUAUGAUUUUAAUAGAUGCAUCUAUUUUAUGGUCACAUGUGCAUUUGGUAUCAACUUGCAGUUUGGUUUUUGCAAGGUUUUUUGCUCAAACUGUUAAAUUAAGAGCAUGGUUACAAACUAUGAAAUUAUGUUGAUAAUGCUGGUUUAUAUCUAAGUUGGUUUAGCAGAAAUUACAUGCCUCUAAUUAGUUGCUAAAAAAUUGGUUAUGAGAAUAAAUCUCCCAAACAAAGUUUUGGUAUGAGAUGUGUUAUUUAAUAUAUAGCAACUUAUAUGCAUCAAGCCAACAUGGUUCCCCUAUCACAAUUGGUUCAAGGUCAGGAACCAAAUAAUUCCCAUCUAAAAAUGUGAAUGUGCGGUAUAUGAUUCAAUUGCUCCACCAUAACGCACAAAGAUGGGUCCCCAAAUAAGGUUGGGGUAAAUGUUAGAUUCCUAACAUUAGGGGGAGAGAUUAUAAGUAGCUGAAAAUAAAUAAAUUAUAUAUAAUGAAUUAUCACUAGAAUGAUCCUCCUACUAGAAUUAAAGUCCUUGAAGGAUAGAGUCUAUCGUACGCCUGUAGCGUGAUAGACCAAUCGGUUCCAAAGGUAAAUCUCCUUGAAGAAGGAGAGGAGCAAAUGGUCAAAAUGGCCAUAAUAAUGAGGCAAGUCCUUUAAAAAAGCACCACGACAUAACACUUCAUGAAACCUUGGGAAAGGUUCAGGUACCUAGAAAUGGUGAAAAAAUGAAGAGAUCUCGAUAAGUUAUGUCGCAUUGGAACCGAUCUCAAAUGACUGUCGACAAUAUCUUUGAUAUAAUGUAGCGCUCAACAUUUAAAUGGUGACGAGGAUCUUGAAUUUAAAUCUAUCAACAAAUGUGGACAGAUAGAUGAUUGGCCAAAUGAAAAUAUGCAAUUCAAGUAUAUUUGGUUUCACGUGGUAAAUAUGAAAUAUUUUGGAUCUAUAGUCCAAACAUUUGAAGAUAUAAUGUCAGUGGGAUAUAAAGAAACUUUCGAGCGAAAAGCGAGAUCAAAAAUAAAUCCAUAAGAUAUAAAGUACGGCUCGUGCCUUGUGGUAUAAAGAUUUCUCGCAAAAGUCCUGACAUUAUUGUAUGGAGAUUGUUCUCCUGUGGUGGAUGCAAUGAGGUAUCAUGUAGUAUGGAAGUGCAUGAAAAAAAGACUUGAAUGCGUAUAAUGAAAUAUUUUCAUGUAUAGUGAAGUUUAUAUGAAAAUUCUUAAAGGAUUUAAAAGGUCUUAAAGCGAUUCCAUUGAGUAUGCCAAUGGCAGUAAAAUCGCUUAACAUAAAGAAAGAUCAAUUUUAGAUCUCACGAAAAUGGUCAGCAAGUACCAUCUCUUAGUGCAAUUGAUGCACUUAUGUAUCCUGCUAUUAUUAUCUAUGAGAUAAUGCUUUUAUUGAUAUGCAAGCAAGAUAUAACCGUACUCUACCCGUGGAGACAUCAUAAGGAACCAAAUAGUGAUAUAAAUUUAUUAUUUCUAACCAAUAUUAUCAAAGGUUUGUUGGUUAUGAAAUGCAGGGCAGCAUUUAUAUGAUCUCUAUAAAAUUCGAGCUCAAACAAAUUAUAUGUGUGCAUAUAUGGGUGUUGUCAUAUCAUUCGUUCUAUAAGGCAGUCAGUUAUUGCUAACUCUUCAAAAAUGUGAAGGAGGCAGUCAGUUAUUGCUAACUCUUCAAAAAUGCAAAGGAUUCUCCUUGAAGAAUGAAGUUCCACUACAUUAUAUGAAGACAAUGUUGCUUGAACAUAAUUCAACUGAAAGAAUGAUACAUUGAAGGUGAAACGCGAGAAAUAUAUCUCGCCGAAAAUUAUUUUCCAGAUGAUCGUCAAAAUAGCGGUGAAAGUAUAUUCAAGAAAUUCAAGUGACAAGUCAGCAGAUUUAUUAACUAAGGCAUCAUCGACCUCAACAUUUGAGAAGAUGGUAAACAAGACUGGGAUGCGCCGACUCCGAGAAAUAAAGUGAUGUUUUCAUUAGGGGGAGUGAAAUACGCGUUGUACUCUUUUUUCCUUAGCUAAGGUUUUGUCCCAUUGGGUUUUCCUGGCAAGGUUUUUAAUGAGGCUGCUAUCAAGAUGUAUUAUUAGAUAUGUGUACUCAUUUUACUUCACUAGGACUUUUUCCCACAGGUUUUUCCCAUUAAGGUUUUAACGAGACACAUUAUCUAUUAAUGGACAUUCAAGGGGGAGUGUUAUAAAUAAUAUUAUAAGUGAAUGUCCAUGUAUUGUAAAAUAUGUAUUUAUUUAUACUUGGAGAGCAAGGUUUGAUUGGAGACCAAUGUAACUAAGUAAUAACUAUAGUUACUAUUGGACUAAUCUAGUUAGAAUCUAACUAGUUACUUGG